GACGAACGCUGGCGGCGUGCCUAAUACAUGCAAGUAGAACGCUGAAGAGAGGAGCUUGCUCUUCUUGGAUGAGUUGCGAACGGGUGAGUAACGCGUAGGUAACCUGCCUUGUAGCGGGGGAUAACUAUUGGAAACGAUAGCUAAUACCGCAUAACAAUGGAUGACACAUGUCAUUUAUUUGAAAGGGGCAAUUGCUCCACUACAAGAUGGACCUGCGUUGUAUUAGCUAGUAGGUGAGGUAAUGGCUCACCUAGGCGACGAUACAUAGCCGACCUGAGAGGGUGAUCGGCCACAAUGGGAAUGAGACACGGCCCAGACUCCUGCGGGAGGGAGCAGUAGGGAAUCUUCGGCAAGGGGGGCAACCCUGACCGAGCAACGCCGCGUGAGUGAAGAAGGGUUUCGGAUCGUAAAGCUCUGUUGUAAGUCAAGAACGAGUGUGAGAGUGGAAAGUUCACACUGUGACGGUAGCUAACCAGAAAGGGACGGCUAACUACGUG
rnacentral:rRNA from 1 species